AUUGAACGCUGGCGGCAUGCUUUACACAUGCAAGUCGAACGGCAGCGCGGGCUUCGGCCUGGCGGCGAGUGGCGAACGGGUGAGUAAUGCAUCGGAACGUGCCCCGUAGUGGGGGAUAGCCCGGCGAAAGCCGGAUUAAUACCGCAUACGACCUGAGGGUGAAAGCGGGGGACCGAAAGGCCUCGCGCUAUUGGAGCGGCCGAUGUCGGAUUAGCUAGUUGGUGGGGUAAAGGCUUACCAAGGCGACGAUCCGUAGCUGGUCUGAGAGGAUGACCAGCCACACUGGGACUGAGACACGGCCCAGACUCCUACGGGAGGCAGCAGUGGGGAAUUUUGGACAAUGGGGGCAACCCUGAUCCAGCCAUGCCGCGUGCGGGAAGAAGGCCUUCGGGUUGUAAACCGCUUUUGUUCGGGAAGAAAUCCUCUGGGCUCAUACCCCGGGGGGAUGACGGUACCGGAAGAAUAAGCACCGGCUAACUACGUG
rnacentral:rRNA from 1 species